GCAAGUCGAACGGGUUGUCUUUGUAGCUUGCUAUGGAGAUGGUUAGUGGCAGACGGGUGAGUAAUGCAUAGGAAUCUACCUAGUAGUAUAGGAUAGCCACUAGAAAUGGUGGGUAAUACUGUAUAAUCCCUGCGGGGGAAAGAUUUAUCGCUACAUGAUGAGCCUAUGUUAGAUUAGCUAGUUGGUGGGGUAAUGGCCUACCAAGGCGAUGAUCUAUAGCUGGUCUGAGAGGAUGAUCAGCCACACUGGAACUGAGACACGGUCCAGACUCCUACGGGAGGCAGCAGUGGGGAAUAUUGGACAAUGGGCGCAAGCCUGAUCCAGCUAUGCCGCGUGAGUGAGGAAGGCCUUAGGGUUGUAAAACUCUUUCAGUAGGGAAGAUAAUGACGGUACCUACAGAAAAAGUCCCGGCAAACUC
rnacentral:rRNA from 1 species